rnacentral:rRNA from 1 species
GACAGAGGAGGCAAGCGUUGUCCGGAAUUACUGGGCGUAAAGCGUGCGUAGACGGUUAUUUAAGUCGGGUGUGAAAGCCCCGGGCUCAACCUGGGAAUUGCAUUCGAGACUGAAUAGCUAGGGUACGGUAGAGGGAAGUGGAAUUUCCGGUGUAGCGGUGAAAUGCGUAGAUAUCGGAAGGAACAUCAGUGGCGAAAGCGACUUCCUGGACCAGUACCGACGUUCAGGCACGAAAGCGUGGGGAGCAAACAGG